UACGGAGGGUGCAAGCGUUAAUCGGGAUUACUGGGCGUAAAGCGCACGCAGGCGGGUUGUUAAGUCAGAUGUGAAAUCCCCGGGCUCAACCUGGGAAUUGCAUUUGAUACUGGGAGUCUAGAGUCUUUUAGAGCGGGGUAGAAUUCCACGUGUAGCGGUGAAAUGCGUAGAGAUGUGGAGGAAUACCGAAGGCGAAGGCAGCCCCGUGGAAAUGUACUGACGCUCAUGUGCGAAAGCGUGGGGAGCAAACAGG
rnacentral:rRNA from 1 species